GAUGGCAUGAGCACUCAGAUAUGUUAAAUGCUGCUGAGUGGUCAAGUCAUAUGAAGAAGGAGCCAAAAGUGUCCAUUGUGUUUGGCAACAUGGAGGUUACUAGUAUCUUUUACAAGAAGUUUUGGUGGAGUAACGAGGUCAGAAAGUCGUAUGAUGGAUUCCCUGCCAUCUCUCCUGGUCUGAGCUGUAUUUCCCACCAAUCUGGUCAAGGAUUGUCACUGCAGCAAUGUUAGAAUAAAUAAAAUAAUAAACAGAGGAUGAUGUUGUCCCAAAGAUGGAAACACUCAAUUUCCAAUGGUUGCAACUUUCUACAUUGAUCUCCAGUACAGUAGGGACAUCCUGCCAUGCUAUUGAUUUGAGCUUCUUCUCUCCUUGACAGCACUCAGAUGGGCACUGAAGUGCUCCUGUAUGCUCCUUUCUCUGUUUCCAUGGCUACCCAAACCUCUUAGCAAACUUGUUUCAAUAAAA